UAGUCCCAAUCUUAACCCACAAAAUUCAACACAUUUGCCUCUAACUUUAUCUACCCACUGACUACCGUCUCCUACAACACCGCAAGUUCCAAUUUGGUCAUGUGCAUGCGUGUAUUGUACUAACCUUUUUCUUUUCUUUCCUGCUUGCUUCUCCUCUUUCUAACUUUGAAUUUCUUAUAUAUAUGGACGUCUUUUUUUCCUCGAGGGUUUCUAUUGGGACCUCCUAAUUUAUGGAGCUUGGAGAAGUGCAUCCGGUCAAGCUGGGUUUGGUGGAGUAUUUCGGGAUUAUCAAAGUACUUUUCUUGGUGCUUUUUCCUCUAGUUUUGAUAUUCCAAGUUCCGUAGCAGCAGAACUGCAGAAGUAAUGGCGGUGAUUAAAGCAAUUGAAUUAGCUUGGGUUUGUGAUUGGAAACAUGUGUGGUUAGAAAUGGAUUCUUCUUUGAUUCUUAAUUUACUCAAAUCUCCUCAGCUGGUGCCUUGGCAAUUACGAGUUGAGUGGGGUAAUUGUUUGCACCGUAUCUCUUAAAUGCAUUUCCACUCCUCACACAUUUUUCGGGAAGGAAACCAAGUUGCAGAUACUUUUGUAAAUUUUGGCCUUUCUUCGGCAGGUUUGAUUUGGUAGGAUUUCCCUCCAGAUUUUAUUUCAUCGUUAUGUAAUAGAGAUUAUUUAGGUCUUCCCAAUUUUCGUUUUCGUUAGUUGGGACGUCCCCCCCCCCCUUAUGUGUUUCAUUUUCUUUCUUUUUAAAUAAAGGGGAGAUGGAGAGCAUUGUUGCUCUUCUAUCUUCAAUCUUAAUAAAAAAAUAUAAAAAAUACUUACUAGACCUCCCCUAUUUUUUUUAAUUAUUAAAUAACAUAUAUGUCCUUAUAUGAAAAUACUGUUACAGACAACAAAAUAUUAAGAUUUUUUUUUUCUCUCUCUCCACAACUUUAUAUUACUUUUAUUAUUCAUUUCCAUUUUCAAAUCUCAUUUAUGAUUUUAUUUGUUAAUGAAAGCUUUCGAAGAAAACAAAGAAUCAAAAGAUAAUGCAUUCAAAAUUACUUGGUGGAUUAUACAAGAACAAAAUUAUGAUGCAAUAGAAAAAAUAUUAGAUAAAUGGUUUUCUCAUUAGUAUUACAAGAUCAUGAAAUGAGGGAUAGAGAGCCAUCGUGUAAACUAAACCAAAUAAACUUGUGAAGCGGCAUAUAAGAUAAAGUUAAAUAAAAAUAACUAAAUGAGCAAAUUUAAUUUUGUAACCAUAAAACAUGAAAAAUUAGGCUUGAAAAAAAUUAUGGUAAUAAUUUCUUAAUUAGUUAUCAAGCUAUGACUUCCUCCUUUUUUUUCAAUAAUUAUUUCAAUUUUUAUUUUUCGGCAAACAAACAAUUAUGGGAGAAUUAAAACUCAUCUUUAAUGCUUGGAACAUUCCAUUUAUAAGUAAGGUUAAGUUAGGUAUUUGAAAGAGGUUUAAAUAGCAAAUUUUACUUUUUAAAAAGCAAAUAAAAGGUAUAAAGAGCCGGAGAGAUCAAAUGAGCAAAUAUGGAAGUCUCAAUAGAAAAACUCUCUUUCUUCCGGUUUAAUUGGCCAGCUAAACCAUUCAGCUGAUAUGAUUUUGUCACAUUAAUUGGUGCGACAAGUCAGAGGAUACAAGGGGUACCAUUAGAUCGAUAUAUGAAAAUGACACUCCAUUCAUUGUAAAGAAGAAUAGUAAUGGAGAAAGUGCUAGUAAUGUGACGGUGUUAGGUAAUGGGGUGCCGUUAGGUAUAUGAAAAUGACACUCCAUAGUGAAGUGGACGAGUCAAUGCAAUCAAAACAAAGAUAGUAAUUGAGAAAGUGCUAGUACUGUGUGGGUGUUACAUUAUGACCUGGAUCUUGAAAGAGAAUGAAAGUGAAAAGAAUAUGACGUUGCUUAUGUGUACAAAACAGAAAAAGAAAUUAUGCGCAUUUAAGUUUGUUUGGUUUGUUAGUUACUGUUCAUUUUCAGAAGAGAAAAAUGCACCAACAGUCCUUAGCUCUUGUGCACCUGCCAGUUUGAUAUUCAGACUCACAAUGGUAUCAAUGUGAUACUUAGACUCAAAAUUUGCUAUAAACGACAUAUUUCUGUUAAAUUUUUGUAACGGUUCCGUUAAAGAGCUGACGUAGCAAUCACUUGGAGAAAACAAAGAUGGCAAAUGACCAAAAUAACCCUCAACUUCUACCAACAACUUAAUUAUAUAGUUAAAUGAUUUUUUUUUUUUAUUAUUAUUAUUUUCUCUCUUCUCUUCUUCUUCCUUUGUUCUUGGGUUUGUACUUUGUCGUCUGUGUUUCUCUUUUGUGAAGGUGAUGGCGUCCAAGCGGAUCUUGAAGGAGCUCAAGGAUCUCCAGAAAGAUCCUCAUACCUCUUGCAGGUGGAUGAAAUUCCUCCUUCUCCGUCGCUCCCACUAAGUUGCCGACAAGAUUGCAUCAUUGUCACUGUUGAAAUCUUGAUGAAAAACCUAUUGGACCUUUCAUUCCAAUCACUCCUUGGGGCGGACGACGUUGGCAUCGGAGUAUAUCCGGGCCUUAGAGGCGGCGAAUCGUUUUACAGAUCUUUUGCGCCAAGGUUUUGUUGAGCGGACAGAGAGGACUCUCUGAUGACGCGAUGCGGCGGAGGAGCGGGGAAAAGCCAUCUAGAAAUAGCGGGUCUGGGCAAACCAAUUGGGGCUGGAAACAACGAUGGGGAUUUGGAGACGAGGGCUUUGCUGACUUGAUGGGUAGAGACAGGCACGGACACAAGGGUGGGCUGAGGUGUGCUGCAGCCCACCUCAACAUUUGGGGGGGGGGGGGGGGAAUUGAUAUAUGUAUACCAAGUCAUAGCACCCCUUAAAAAAAAAAGGGUCAACAUAUAUAAUUAAUGUAUGUAGCAAACUAACAGACAAGUCUCUCCUUUUCUCCCUUUCUUUGUCCUCUCGUCUUCACCUCUGCCCACUGCCCAGUUCUGCGAGCUCAGACUCUCACCUCUCUCUACCAAGUCACUUUAUCUCUUCUCCUCAAUAAUCUGCUCUCAUCUCUCAACCUUAUUCAGGUAUUACACUUUAACUUCUCUUCUAUAAUGAAAUUUUUUGACGAAAUUAGAAUGUAAUUUAGGUUAGAAUUUGGGUAUUUCUAGAUUUCUUGAUGUAAGUAAUCAAAUCUAUUGAUUUCUAGAAAAAGAUAUUGAAUGGGGGAAUUGAUAUAUGUAUACCAAGUCAUAGCACCCCUUAAAAAAAAAAGGGUCAACAUAUAUAAUUAAUGUAUGUAGCAAACUAACAGACAAGUCUCUCCUUUUCUCCCUUUCUUUGUCCUCUCGUCCUCACCUCUGCCCACUGCCCAGUUCUGCGAGCUCAGACUCUCACCUCUCUCUACCAAGUCACUUUAUCUCUUCUCCUCAAUAAUCUGCUCUCAUCUCUCAACCUUAUUCAGAGAUGGGAGGUGGGGUAAAGAGGGUGUGGAAUGGAGGAUUGACUGAGAGUAGGGCGAAGAUGCGGCGGGUCAGGAGUUGGAGGCACCGUCAAUGAUCCAUACCGAUUCUAUGUGGAUUAUCUUAAUCAGAAGACGUCGUCUGGGCUUGGAUUUGUACUAAUGGAAUGUAUAUGCUUCAUGGCUUCUUUCGGAGUUUACUUAAUUGAAUGGGUUUGAAACAAAAAAAAUGGACUCGUUCUAUAAAUUAAGCAAAAUCAAAAGAAAGGAAAAAAGAGAGAGAGAGAGAGAGAGAGAGAAGUCAAUAUUAUCAUGAUGUGACCAACAGUUUUUAUUAUUAUUUUUUUAGAGUAAUUUAUUUUAUUUUAUUAACAAGUUAAAAAGACA